UUGGGCGAAAUCAAGAGACCGU
rnacentral:snRNA from 1 species